UGGGUCUAAUACUGGAUACGACAUGUCACCGCAUGGUGGUGUGUGGAAAGGGUUUUACUGGUUUUGGAUGGGCUCACGGCCUAUCAGCUUGUUGGUGGGGUAAUGGCUCACCAAGGCGACGACGGGUAGCCGGCCUGAGAGGGUGACCGGCCACACUGGGACUGAGACACGGCCCAGACUCCUACGGGAGGCAGCAGUGGGGAAUAUUGCACAAUGGGCGAAAGCCUGAUGCAGCGACGCCGCGUGAGGGAUGACGGCCUUCGGGUUGUAAACCUCUUUCAGCACGGAAGAAGCGAAAGUGACGGUACUUUUCAGAAGAAGCGCCGGCUAACUACGUGCCAGCAGCCGCGGUAAUACGUAGGGCGCAAGCGUUGUCCGGAAUUAUUGGGCGUAAAGAGCUCGUAGGCGGUUUGUCGCGUCUGCUGUGAAAGCCCGGGGCUUAACCCCGGGUGUGCAGUGGGUACGGGCAGACUUGAGUGCAGUAGGGGAGACUGGAAUUCCUGGUGUAGCGGUGAAAUGCGCAGAUAUCAGGAGGAACACCGAUGGCGAAGGCAGGUCUCUGGGCUGUUACUGACGCUGAGGAGCGAAAGCAUGGGGAGCGAACAGGAUUAGAUACCCUGGUAGUCCAUGCCGUAAACGUUGGGCACUAGGUGUGGGGAACAUUCCACGUUUUCCGCGCCGUAGCUAACGCAUUAAGUGCCCCGCCUGGGGAGUACGGCCGCAAGGCUAAAACUCAAAGGAAUUGACGGGGGCCCGCACAAGCGGCGGAGCAUGCGGAUUAAUUCGAUGCAACGCGAAGAACCUUACCAAGGCUUGACAUACACCGGACCGGGCCAGAGAUGGUCUUUCCCCCUUGUGGGGCUGGUGUACAAAAAAAAAACAUGGUUGUCGUCAGCUCGUGUCGUGAGAUGUUGGGUUAAGUCCCGCAACGAGCGCAACCCUCGUUCUAUGUUGCCAGCACGUGAUGGUGGGGACUCAUAGGAGACUGCCGGGGUCAACUCGGAGGAAGGUGGGGAUGACGUCAAAUCAUCAUGCCCCUUAUGUCUUGGGCUUCACGCAUGCUACAAUGGCCAGUACAAUGGGUUGCGAUGCCGCGAGGUGGAGCUAAUCCCAAAAAGCUGGUCUCAGUUCGGAUCGUGGUCUGCAACUCGACCACGUGAAGUCGGAGUCGCUAGUAAUCGCAGAUCA
rnacentral:rRNA from 1 species